GUGUCCGCCGGGAAAGUCCGCGACGGCGACCUCGACUCUGUCUGGUGCGGGGAGCACAUCCGGUUCUCACGGGGCACCUCAGGCAAGCUGGCAUCACCGCCAGGCCCUUCCUUCGCUGUGUACCCCAAGAAGACACCGACACCAGCGAUGGUAUCGUGAAGAAAAGAAUGCCAUGGUGGUGGGGGGGUCCCCGGGGCGG
rnacentral:ribozyme from 11 species